rnacentral:misc_RNA from 1 species
GAUGAAGAACGCAGCGAAAUGCGAUAAGUAAUGUGAAUUGCAGAAUUCAGUGAAUCAUCGAAUCUUUGAACGCACAUUGCGCCCGCCAGUAUUCUGGCGGGCAUGCCUGUUCGAGCGUCAUUUCAACCAUCAAGCCCCAGGCUUGUGUUGGAGCCCUGCGGCUGCCGCAGCCUCCCAAAACCAGUGGCGGGCUCGCUAUCACACCGAGUGCAGUAGUUUACUCUUCGCUCAGGGCGUGUGGCGGGUGCUAGCCGUAAAACCCCCAACUUCUCAAGGUUGACCUCGGAUCAGGUAGGAACACCCGCUGAACUUAAGCAUAUCAAUAAGCGGAGGA